AUUGAACGCUAGCGGGAUGCCUUACACAUGCAAGUCGAACGGCAGCGCGGACUUCGGGUCUGGCGGCGAGUGGCGAACGGGUGAGUAAUGUAUCGGAACGUGCUUAGUANCGGGGGAUAACUACUCGAAAGAGUAGCUAAUACCGCAUACGCCCUACGGGGAAAGGGGGGGAUCGCAAGGACCUCUCACUAUUAGAGCGGCCGAUAUCGGAUUAGCUAGUUGGUGGGGUAAAGGCUCACCAAGGCGACGAUCCGUAGCUGGUUUGAGAGGACGACCAGCCACACUGGGACUGAGACACGGCCCAGACUCCUACGGGAGGCAGCAGUGGGGAAUUUUGGACAAUGGGGGAAACCCUGAUCCAGCCAUUCCGCGUGUGCGAUGAAGGCCUUCGGGUUGUAAAGCACUUUUGGCAGGAAAGAAAUCGCACGGGUUAAUAACCCGUGUGGAUGACGGUACCUGCAGAAUAAGCACCGGCUAACUACGUG
rnacentral:rRNA from 1 species